UGAGGAAUUUUCCGCAAUGGACGAAAGUCUGACGGAGCGACGCCGUGUGUGCGAUGAAGUCUUUCGGGAUGUAAAGCACUGUCGAGGGGGACGAUAUUGACGGUACCCCUGGAGGAAGCCCCGGCUAACUACGUGCCAGCAGCCGCGGUAAUACGUAGGGGGCGAGCGUUAUCCGGAAUUACUGGGCGUAAAGGGCGUGUAGGCGGUUCCGUAAGUUGGGUGUUAAAGGUAUGGGCUCAACUCAUACAUUGCGCUCAAUACUGCGGUUCUGGAGAAUGGUAGAGGAAAACGGAACUUCCGGUGUAGCGGUGAAAUGCGUAGAUAUCGGAAGGAACACCAGUGGCGAAGGCGGUUUUCUGGGCCAUUUCUGACGCUGAGGCGCGAAAGCUAGGGGAGCAAACAGG
rnacentral:rRNA from 1 species